ACAGAAACCUCGUCUUAACCCGAAAAAACAGACACGAAAUCGUUAGGAUUUGUAAAGCAAAAUCGAUUUGGGGGUUUCUAACACACAGAGAGAGGGACAGAGACAGAGAGAUCAAGUGAAAGAGAUUGAGAGAAAUUACAAAUCGAGCACCUAAGAGAUCAAGUGAAAGGGAUUGAGAGAAAUUACAAAUCGAGCACCUAAUUUCGUUUUCAUUCUUUAAAAUAGAUGUGGGGAGUGGGAAAAAUGUAAAAUCGGGUUUUAAGAAGCGUCAUUGGAGUAAUUCGUUUGCGAUAGUGUGGCUUCUGGAGAUUCAGUUAGAGGAAGAGGGUGAAGCGUUCUGGGAAUCACAAUGAGUGAUCCAGUGUCAGUGAUCAAUUUCUUUCAUUCGGGUGUAUUCACAUUUGAAGAUGGAAAGUUGAAUUUUGUGAAUGGUCUUUUGGAGCAGUUUGUAGUUGAUGGUAUAGUAAUCUUUGAAGACGUAACGAAGGAGAUGAUUUAGAAAGGUAUUAUGGAGAAAAUGUGGUACAAGUUACCAUAUGAAGACAUCUUGGACAAGAAACCUUUGUUUGAUAAUGUAGAGGAAAACAAAAGGAAAACGAAUGCUAUAAUACCUGACUUGACUUCUCUCGGCUGUCUUUUUUUUGUUUUUAGGUGUCUUCUUUGGUCUUCGGAUAUGACCUUUUAGUGUUCGAAAAUGUCUCUUAUUGUGAAUGUUAUGAUAUUGCUCUUGUUAUGUAUGACAAGUCGCCUAUUUUAGAUGUUAAAA